rnacentral:tmRNA from 1 species
GGGGUAGUACCGGUUUCGACGGGGGUCUUGAAGAUGGAGAAGCUAUCCGUACGCGAUGCGUCAAAUCGCAAAACUUAAAUUUAAACGCAGACGAAAACGUAGCGUUAGCAGCCUAGUUGCUGCUCGUCAGCCCUUGUGCACUCACACAUGAGGAAUCUGGCGCCGAUCUUGUGAGAAACGAUGCGGGCAAAGCUUUGAGCCUGUAGGCGUAAUAUGAAGCUACCAAAACCAUCAGGGUGUCUGUUUCCGGGUGGCGGAGGGAAUGUCAAAGAACAGACUAUGAUAGUAGAAGUACAUGGGAUAGAUUUUCGGACACGGGUUCAACUCCCGUCUACUCCAU